GAGGAGGCGCAGAGAGCAAGUGAGGGCUGCGAGCACAUUGUCAUCUCUCACUUUGAUUGUUCAGUCAGUUACAGAUAAAACACCUUGUUCUACUCUUUCCCUCCUUCUUGCUACUACACUUGACUAAUCUUUA
ensembl:misc_RNA Y_RNA Y RNA